rnacentral:rRNA from 1 species
GUGGGGAAUAUUGGACAAUGGGCGCAAGCCUGAUCCAGCCAUACCGCGUGGGUGAAGAAGGCCUUCGGGUUGUAAAGCCCUUUUGUUGGGAAAGAAAUCCUGUCGGUUAAUACCUGGCGGGGAUGACGGUACCCAAAGAAUAAGCACCGGCUAACUUCGUGCCAGCAGCCGCGGUAAUACGAAGGGUGCAAGCGUUACUCGGAAUUACUGGGCGUAAAGCGUGCGUAGGUGGUGGUUUAAGUCCGUUGUGAAAGCCCUGGGCUCAACCUGGGAAUUGCAGUGGAUACUGGAUCACUAGAGUGUGGUAGAGGGAUGCGGAAUUUCUGGUGUAGCAGUGAAAUGCGUAGAGAUCAGAAGGAACAUCCGUGGCGAAGGCGGCAUCCUGGGCCAACACUGACACUGAGGCACGAAAGCGUGGGGAGCAAACAGGAUUAGAAACCAGUGUAGUCC